rnacentral:rRNA from 1 species
GAUGAACGCUGGCGGCGUGCUUAACACAUGCAAGUCGAACGGGAAUUACUUUAUUGAAACUUCGGUCGAUUUAAUUUAAUUCUAGUGGCGGACGGGUGAGUAACGCGUGGGUAACCUGCCUUAUACAGGGGGAUAACAGUCAGAAAUGGCUGCUAAUACCGCAUAAGCGCACAGAGCUGCAUGGCUCGGUGUGAAAAACUCCGGUGGUAUAAGAUGGACCCGCGUUGGAUUAGCUUGUUGGUGGGGUAACGGCCCACCAAGGCGACGAUCCAUAGCCGGCCUCAGAGGGUGAACGGCCACAUUGGGACUGAGACACGGCCCAGACUCCUACGGGAAGCAGCAGUGGGGAAUAUUGCACAAUGGGGGAAACCCUGAUGCAGCGACGCCGCGUGAAGGAAGAAGUAUCUCGGUAUGUAAACUUCUAUCAGCAGGGAAGAUAGUGACGGUACCUGACUAAGAAGCCCCGGCUAACUACGUG